CAACUACUCCCUCUAUCCCAAAUUUCUUGUCUUAGAUUUGUCUAGAUACGGAUGUAUCUAAUACUAAAAUGUGACUUGAUACAUCUGUAUCUAGACAAAUCUAAUACAAGAAUUUUGGGACGGAGGGAGUACUUU
rnacentral:pre_miRNA from 1 species